CUACAUACGUGUAAAGGAAAGGAUGAGAAUUAUAUUUUGCCAAGCGAAAGGUCAGAUUCUUUUAUAGUGGAGUUACAACGAAGUUCAUAUAGUGCUUUCACAAUGAAAUAACCAAUGCUUUUUAGGUUGCCGGAAAAGGCAAAGCGGGAACAAAAGACAUUGUCUACUCUAUGUUUGAAAUAGUUAUGACUGUUUCAAAUAAGGGACUAGGCUCGUCGAC
rnacentral:lncRNA from 1 species